rnacentral:rRNA from 1 species
AGCGAACGCUGGCGGCAUGCCUAACACAUGCAAGUCGCACGGGGGGGCUUCGGCCUCCCAGUGGCGGACGGGUGAGGAACGCGUAGGGACCUGUCGAGGGGUGGGGGAUAACCGCGGGAAACUGCGGCUAAUACCGCAUGACGCCGCGGCGUGACAGCCGGGGCCAAAGGCGAAAGCCGCCCGCCGAGGGGCCUGCGUCCGAUUAGCUGGUUGGCGGGGUAGCGGCCCACCAAGGCGUCGAUCGGUAGCUGGUCUGGGAGGGUGAUCAGCCACACCGGGACUGAGACACGGCCCGGACUCCUACGGGAGGCAGCAGUGGGGAAUAUUGGACGAUGGGCGCAAGCCUGAUCCAGCAAUGCCGCGUGGGUGAAGAAGGUCUUCGGAUUGUAAAGCCCUUUCGGCGGGGACGAUGGUGACGGUACCCGCAGAAGAAGCCCCGGCUAACUUCGUG